rnacentral:rRNA from 1 species
UACGAAGGGUGCAAACGUUGCUCGGAAUUAUUGGGCGUAAAGCGCACGUAGGCGGCUUAGCAAGUCGGAAGUGAAAGCCCUUGGCUCAACCAAGGAAGUGCUUUCGAAACUGCUGAGCUUGAGUAGUUAAGAGGAUCGCGGAAUUCCCGGUGUAGAGGUGAAAUUCGUAGAUAUCGGGAGGAACACCAGUGGCGAAGGCGGCGAUCUGGGAACAUACUGACGCUGAGGCAUAAGAACGGGAGGGCAAACAGGG